CAAUAGCGUAUAUUAAAGUUGUUGCAGUUAAAAAGCUCGUAGUUGGAUUUCUGGUAGGAGUGACCGUUCCGAGCUUGAUUGUUCGUGUAUUGUGUUUUCUCCAGCCAUCCUUGUGGAGAACUUUUCUUGCAUUAAUUUGUAGGGAUUGGGACCCGCAUCGUUUACUGUGAAAAAAUUAGAGUGUUUAAAGCAGGCAAUCGCUUGAAUACAUUAGCAUGGAAUAAUAAGAUAGGACUUUGGUACUAUUUUGUUGGUUUGCAUACCAAAUUAAUGAUCAACAGGAACAGUUUGAGGAUAUUCGUAUGAACACGUCAGAGGUGAAAUUCUUGGAUUUUGAUCAGACGAACUACUGCGAAAGCAUUUAUCAAGGAUGUUUUCAUUAA
rnacentral:rRNA from 1 species